UAUGCUGGUCAAGGUGAGAUUUGGUUCAAGUCAGAAGUAUGUUAAGGUGGCAGAAACCGAAGCAGGCUAUGAAGACUACAAUACAUUUAUUGAGAGUAAUAGGAAAGUUAGGUCUUCCUUUACAGACAGACUUGCACUUGACGGAUCAAUCAGGGACAGAGGUGGAUGCAGAUGUGUUUGAGGAACUUUUACAAGCAGGGGACCUUACCGUCAAUGUGUCCACAGAAAAGUCUGGAGUUGUGCUUCAACCAGAGCUAGCAGAAAUUUCCUUUGAGUCGAAUGUGUCAGACACCGUAUCCUCUGUGCCUUCUGAUUCAUCUGAUGCAACAAUAACUCUUGAG